AGAGUUUGAUCCUGGCUCAGGAUGAACGCUAGCGGCAGGCCUAACACAUGCAAGUCGAGGGGCAGCACGGUGUAGCAAUACACUGGUGGCGACCGGCGCACGGGUGCGUAACGCGUAUGCAACCUACCCAUAACAGGGGGAUAACACUGAGAAAUUGGUACUAAUACCCCAUAACAUCUCGAGUGGCAUCACUUGGGGUUGAAAGCUUCGGUGGUUAUGGAUGGGCAUGCGUUGUAUUAGCUAGUUGGUGAGGUAACGGCUCACCAAGGCGACGAUACAUAGGGGGACUGAGAGGUUAACCCCCCACAUUGGUACUGAGACACGGACCAAACUCCUACGGGAGGCAGCAGUGAGGAAUAUUGGUCAAUGGACGCAAGUCUGAACCAGCCAUGCCGCGUGCAGGAUGACGGCUCUAUGAGUUGUAAACUGCUUUUGUACGAGGGUAAACGCAGAUACGUGUAUCUGUCUGAAAGUAUCGUACGAAUAAGGAUCGGCUAACUCCGUGCCAGCAGCCGCGGUAAUACGGAGGAUCCAAGCGUUAUCCGGAUUUAUUGGGUUUAAAGGGUGCGUAGGCGGUCAGAUAAGUUAGAGGUGAAAUUCCGGUGCUUAACACCGGCGCUGCCUCUAAUACUGUUUGACUAGAGAGUAGUUGCGGUAGGCGGAAUGUAUGGUGUAGCGGUGAAAUGCUUAGAGAUCAUACAGAACACCGAUUGCGAAGGCAGCUUACCAAACUAUAUCUGACGUUGAGGCACGAAAGCGUGGGGAGCAAACAGGAUUAGAUACCCUGGUAGUCCACGCAGUAAACGAUGAUAACUCGUUGUCGGCGAUACACAGUCGGUGACUAAGCGAAAGCGAUAAGUUAUCCACCUGGGGAGUACGUUCGCAAGAAUGAAACUCAAAGGAAUUGACGGGGGCCCGCACAAGCGGAGGAACAUGUG
rnacentral:rRNA from 1 species